CUCAGCAGAGCAAUACCAACCAGCUUUUUUUCGACUUUGAAGGAACCAAAACGCAGACGCACAGCAUAAACUCAGCUCACCUUUACAUCCACACCGCUGCCCGUUCAAAUCAUCGUGCCGUUAUCCAGACGCGCUCUUUGGGGGCGACCGGGUCCUGUUUCACGAGUCUUGCAAAAGCAACUUGGAGCUUUUCGCUGCAAAGCGCAUCGUUUUCAACCCUCUGAACAAUCCACGGAGAGGCGCCGGAGCAGAAUCGUUCACCUGAAGCUCGGGUUACAUGUCACCGUGGGAGGGGUCGUCCUGCGAGUAAACACGAAACACAAAGCAGCAACCAAUACAGCGACGAUGGGAGAGUGGAUGAUGCCAAGAGGAGGAGACGGGGCACCCUGGAAAAGGAAGAGAAGGAGAGGGAGAAGGUGCGGCAGAGGCAGAGAGGACAGCAUCAGCACCACACACGCUGCAAAUCCAGUGUUUUAUAGCCUAAUUGGUCAGAAACAUGUCUUUUGUCCUGUCUUCUUCCCGUGAACAGAUGGCUGCAUGAGCCUGGUUCUGCCGGAGGUUUCUUCUAGAUAAAAGGGAGUUUUUCCUUUCUACUGUUGCCAACUGCUUGCUCAUAGGGGGUCAUCUGAUUGUUGGAGGUUGUCUGUAUUAUUGUAGCUUUACCUUAGAAUAUAAAUUACCUCGAGAUGACUGUUGUUGUGAUUUGUCACCAUGUAAAUACUACUCUGAAUAGUUCCCUGUUGGUUAACCUCAUAAGUUUUUCCAUUCCCAAAUGAUAUGUUGAACCCAUCACAUGUCCAUUGUUUCUGUGAGCUGUUAAAUGCAAGCAAGUGCCAAAACCUAAGAGAAAUAAUAAUAGAAAAGCUGUGGACCCGCUGUACACCACCUGCCCAGCAUUUAACAGCUGAUACCCAGGUUUAACAAUGUAGGAGACAUGGCACUCAAACAAUCCUGAAUAGAAGGCUAUGGGAGAUUUCUGUAAUAGCAGAUAUGGUGUUGUCCUGCCCCUACUCCUAAAAAGUCAUGUUGUUGGGCACAUGUGCACAGAAGAGG
ensembl:lncRNA